CCUGGGAGACAGAGUGAGACUCCAUCUCAAUUAAUCAAUCCAUCAAUAAUAUAUAAUAACAAGCUAUCCAGGUGAUUCUGAUGCAGGCCAGAAUUUGAACACCAUCUCUCCUCCAGGUCCAGACUCUGAGAGAUUUAACACAGGAUGACAAAUAUUUGUUCAGCACCUGCU